UCAGGCCUAACACAUGCAAGUCGAGGGAGAACAUUGGAUUCGUCUGAUGGGAAACCGGCGCACGGGUGCGUAACACGUAUGCGACCUACCUAUAACUGGGGUAUAGCUCAGAGAAAUCUGAAUUAAUCCCCCAUAACACUACGCUGUGGCAUCACAGUGUAGUUAAAGCUCCGGCGGUUAUAGAUGGGCAUGCGUUGCAUUAGCUAGUUGGUAAGGUAAAAGCUUACCAAGGCUACGAUGCAUAGGGGGUCUGAGAGGAUGAUCCCCCACACUGGUACUGAGACACGGACCAGACUCCUACGGGAGGCAGCAGUAGGGAAUAUUGGUCAAUGGACGCAAGUCUGAACCAGCCAUGCCGCGUGCAGGAAGACGGCCCUAUGGGUUGUAAACUGCUUUUAUAUGAGAAGAAACCCCUUGGUGCGCUGAGGG
rnacentral:rRNA from 1 species